rnacentral:rRNA from 1 species
CCUACGGGAGGCAGCAGUGGGGAAUAUUGCACAAUGGGGGAAACCCUGAUGCAGCAACGCCGCGUGAGUGAAGAAGUAUUUCGGUAUGUAAAGCUCUAUCAGCAGGGAAGAAGAUGACGGUACCUGAGUAAGAAGCCCCGGCUAACUACGUGCCAGCAGCCGCGGUAAUACGUAGGGGGCAAGCGUUAUCCGGAUUUACUGGGUGUAAAGGGAGCGCAGACGGCAGUGCAAGUCUGGAGUGAAAGCCCGGGGCUCAACCGCGGAACUGCUCUGGAAACUGUGCGGCUAGAGUGCGGGAGGGGUAGGCGGAAUUCGUGGUGUAGCGGUGAAAUGCGUAGAUAUUAGGAGGAACACCAGUGGCGAAGGCGGCCUGCUGUAGAGUAACUGACGUUGAGGCUCGAAGGCGUGGGGAGCGAACAGGAUUAGAUACCCCGGUAGUC